GAUGAAGAACGUAGCGAAAUGCGAUAAGUAAUGUGAAUUGCAGAAUUCAGUGAAUCAUCGAAUCUUUGAACGCACAUUGCGCCCCUUGGUAUUCCGAGGGGCAUGCCUGUUCGAGCGUCAUUAUAACCCCUCAAGCUCAGCUUGGUGUUGGGGCCUGCCGCACGGGCAGCCCUUAAAAUCAGUGGCGGUGCUAUCUGGCUCUAAGCGUAGUAAUUCUUCUCGCUAUAGAGUCCCGGUGGAUGCUUGCCAUUAACCCCCAAGUUUCUAUGGUUGACCUCGGAUCAGGUAGGGAUACCCGCUGAACUUAAGCAUAUCAAUAAGCGGAGGA
rnacentral:misc_RNA from 1 species